rnacentral:tRNA from 1 species
GGUUUCGUAGCUCAGUUGGUAGAGCAGCUGACUCUUAAUCAGCGGGUCGAGGGUUCGAGUCCCUCCGAAAUCA